AACUGCAUGGAAGCACAAGCAAUACAGCUACAAUUUCUCCAGAACAUUUUCAACCACAUGUUGACUUAUAUCCUGACUUCCAAGAAGCAGCUGAGGCAUAUAAAGCAGAACAUCUACAAGGAAAUAUUGAGGAAGAACCAGUAAUUGAUGAAGUGGCUGAGGCACAACAAGCAGGUAAUAUAUUCUCUAUAUUCUCUAUAACUCCAUAAUACUGUUCAUAUCUACAUAGAUCUACACUUAUCUACAGAAGGUGAAGUUCCACAGUCGCCAAUUCACGGUGUGACUGUGACUGAAGUUGUUCCUG